rnacentral:misc_RNA from 1 species
AUAAGAUUGCCUUUAUAAGGCACUAUUUUAAUUGAAAUUGACUGGAUAUUUAGGAUUUUUGUCUGGAGAAAAGAGUCCCCAGUGUUUCUCUAACUCGGGGUUUUUGUUACUUUCAUCAAACAUGGAGAAAAUGUAAGUUUCUAUGGGUUUUCCUGGCUUCUUUGGAGUCCCUUUUUUCACAUGUUGAAUCAAGUUGUUAUUGUAAGUUCUUGCAUUUUCAACUGAUGUUCCAAAAUCUCCAGCAGUAGGCCAUCCGCUUUCCGAUGCCACAAUUUCCAGAGAACCUCCACGAGCCUUCUCCAAGGCGGCAUAAACAGUAUCAAGCAUGGCAUCAAAAAGGUUUUGGUAAUUACGUCCAACAUCUGGAUCAGAGACUACUGGUGAUGAAGCUGUGAAAAGAGAAUAAUCAAGAGGAAUUUGUCCCCGAGCAUCUCUAUAACUGAAGUAUGGAUACAAGUUGAGGAGCAAUGGGGAUUGGUUGUUCACUAGAAAUUCGAUCACAGGAUCAAUAAUUGGUCGAUAUUCUUGCUUGAAAGAGCCUUUAGAAGGAGGGAAGGCGUCUGCAGCAAGGCCUGUAGUAUCAAUAGCAGUGGAAACUUUAAUAUUUCCAAGACCAGCAGAAUUGAGUGCAUUUUUAAUAUUUCUCAUGGCAGGGACCAGAAAAGGUGCUUCUGGACUUGAGGGAUGAAUCUCAUUUCCAACUGCAAUGUAGCGAAAUUUGACAUUUCCAUGGCUUUUUAUGUUAUUUUGCACCCAAGUAUUUGCUUCAGCUUGAUUGGAAGAAAUCCUCUGAAGGUUAUCAUUUGGAAGGCCAAGUAUGAGCUCUAUAUUAGAGCCUCCAAGGGCUUGGAGAGCAUUUUGAUUUGGGUCGUAGAGUCUCAUUCUGCGGAUGCCAUUCUGGUUGUAGAGACCUACAACUUCUGCUGGUGGUGGCAGGUUACCAAGCAUUCCAUAGCAAACACCAAUUUGAGCACCUGUUGUGUCUAGGCUAGCCAGAAGCAACCCAAGGAAUAGAAUUAUUGAAAGUGUAGAAGGGCUUUUGCCAAGUAAAGAGGACCUUGCCAUUUUUAUUAAACUUAGGGGAACUUUGAGGGGAUUGUGAAUGUUUG